CCUACGGGAGGCAGCAGUAGGGAAUAUUGCUCAAUGGGGGAAACCCUGAAGCAGCAACGCCGCGUGGAGGAUGAAGGUUUUCGGAUUGUAAACUCCUUUUGUUAGAGAAGAUAAUUACGGUAUCUAACGAAUAAGCACCGGCUAACUCCGUGCCAGCAGCCGCGGUCAUACGGAGGGUGCAAGCGUUACUCGGUAUCACUGGGCGUAAAGAGCGCGUAGGCGGGAUAGCAAGUCAGAUGUGAAAUCCUAUGGCUUAACCAUAGAACUGCAUUUGAAACUGUUAUUCUAGAGUAUGGGAGAGGUAGGUGGAAUUCUUGGUGUAGGGGUAAAAUCCGUAGAGAUCAAGAGGAAUACUCAUUGCGAAGGCGACCUGCUAGAACAUAACUGACGCUGAUGCGCGAAAGCGUGGGGAGCAAACAGGAUUAGAUACCCCUGUAGUC
rnacentral:rRNA from 1 species